UGGAUUGAUGAUGGCCACUGGUGGCGUAUGUUAUGAGUCAUUUGCGAUGAAUAUGUAUCUGGAACUCUGACGUCCAA
rfam:Felis catus isolate Cinnamon breed Abyssinian chromosome B3, whole genome shotgun sequence.